rnacentral:rRNA from 1 species
GACGAACGCUGGCGGCGUGCUUAACACAUGCAAGUCGAACGGAAAGGCCCUGCUUGCAGGGUACUCGAGUGGCGAACGGGUGAGUAACACGUGGGUGAUCUGCCCUGCACUUCGGGAUAAGCCUGGGAAACUGGGUCUAAUACCGGAUAGGAGCCAUUUUUAGUGUGAUGGUUGGAAAGUUUUUUCGGUGUAGGAUGAGCUCGCGGCCUAUCAGCUUGUUGGUGGGGUAAUGGCCUACCAAGGCGGCGACGGGUAGCCGGCCUGAGAGGGUGGACGGCCACAUUGGGACUGAGAUACGGCCCAGACUCCUACGGGAGGCAGCAGGGGGGAAUAUUGCACAAGGGGCGCAAGCCUGAUGCAGCGACGCCGCGUGGGGGAGGACGGCCUUCGGGUUGUAAACUCCUUUCGCUAGGGACGAAGCUUUUUGUGACGGUACCUAGAGAAGAAGCACCGGCUAACUACGUG